AGCCUUCUGAAUCUGUGCCGAAAUUUCGUCAGACUCUAGACUGUCAAAACUGAUGAGACUCUCAAGACAAGUGAAGUG
rfam:Schistosoma mattheei strain Denwood, Zambia genome assembly, scaffold: SMTD_contig0001851